AUUGAACGCUGGCGGCAUGCCUAACACAUGCAAGUCGAACGGCAGCAUGAUAAGAGCUUGCUCUUAUUGAUGGCGAGUGGCGGACGGGUGAGUAAUAUGUAGGAAUCUGCCUUGAGGAGGGGGAUAACUUAGGGAAACUUAAGCUAAUACCACAUAAGCCCUACGGGGGAAAGCAAGGGAUCGAAAGACCUUGCGCCUUAAGAUGAGCCUACAUCGGAUUAGCUUGUUGGUGGGGUAAAGGCCUACCAAGGCGAUGAUCCGUAGCUGGUCUGAGAGGAUGACCAGCCACACUGGGACUGAGACACGGCCCAGACUCCUACGGGAGGCAGCAGUGGGGAAUAUUGGACAAUGGGGGCAACCCUGAUCCAGCAAUGCCGCGUGUGUGAAGAAGGCCUUAGGGUUGUAAAGCACUUUCAGUGGGGAGGAAGGAGUUGGUGAUAAUACCAUCAGCUAUUGGCGUUACCCACAGAAGAAGCACCGGCUAACUCUGUGCCAGCCGCCGCAGUAAUAC
rnacentral:rRNA from 1 species